ACCAUAUAGUAAGGGAUAACAGUUGGAAACGACUGCUAAUACCAUAUACGCCCUUAGGGGGAAAGAUUUAUCGCUAUAUGAUGAGCCCGCGUAAGAUUAGCUAGUUGGUGAGGUAAUGGCUCACCAAGGCUACGAUCUUUAGCUGGUCUGAGAGGAUGAUCAGCCACACUGGAACUGAGACACGGUCCAGACUCCUACGGGAGGCAGCAGUGGGGAAUAUUGGACAAUGGGCGCAAGCCUGAUCCAGCCAUGCCGCGUGAAUGAUGAAGGCCUUAGGGUUGUAAAGUUCUUUCGCUAUCGAGGAUAAUGACUGUAGAUAGAUAAGAAGCCCCGGCUAACUUCGUGCCAGCAGCCGCGGUAAUACGAAGGGGGCUAGCGUUGUUCGGAAUCACUGGGCGUAAAGCGCGCGUAGGCGGCUAUUCAAGUCAGAGGUGAAAUCCCAGAGCUCAACUUUGGAACUGCCUUUGAAACUGUAUAGCUGGAGUGUUGGAGGGGAUAGCGGAAUUCCUAGUGUAGAGGUGAAAUUCGUAGAUACUAGGAGGAACACCGGUGGCGAAGGCGGCUAUCUGGACAACAACUGACGCUGAGGCGCGAAAGCGUGGGUAUCAAACAGGAUUAGAUACCCUGGUAGUCCACGCUGUAAACGAUGAGUGCUAGCUGUCGGGCCCUUAGGGUUCGGUGGCGCUGCUAACGCAUUAAGCACUCCGCCUGGGGAGUACGGUCGCAAGAUUAAAACUCAAAG
rnacentral:rRNA from 1 species